rnacentral:lncRNA from 1 species
UUCAAAAUCUGCUAAGAAACGACAGAUUUAUUCUGUACAAACAAAUAGAAUAUGGAGACAGUGUUUGAUUCGGAAACAAGAAAAGAAAUAAGUCCUUGUUCUCUCAUUUACGUCAUGUUUAGUAUUCGAGAAUAAUAGUUCUCGAAUUUUUGAAAUAAGAUGGAAUAAUACUGCAACUGCUAUUCCACUCAUUUUUCUGGAAUAUGCUUGUUCCCAUAUGAAAAUAAGGCUAAUUAAAGUCUAAUUAUAAUAUUAAAUUAUUAAUUAAUCUAAUUAAUUAAUAUAUUUAAAUCAUUAUUUAUUACUUAAAUAAUAAAAUAAUUAAUUAAUUUAUUAUUAAUUAAUUAAUUAUUAAUAAUUUAAUAUAUUUAUUUAUAUACUAGUAUUUAUAUUGAUCAACCAUUAAUGUUUCUAUUAUUCUAAUUAUUUUCUUUCUAGUUACCUCGCUAAAAUAAUUUACUAACUAAUUAAAAUUUAAAUUAUUUUUUAUAAUUAAUUAAUUCAUUACUAUAAUUUUAUUAUCUUAUACAAUAUUCAUAACUAAUAAAUUUAUUAAUUUAUUAAAUAAUUUUUAAGUAAUAUUCAGAUGUUAAUUUAUUAGAUAAAAUAAUUUUAAUUUAAAAUUAUAACUCUUAUUCUUCUUAUUUUAGUCUAAUCAUCCAAACACUAUUUACUGUAUUUCUAAGAAGGACCCAAUUUUCAUUUAAAUGCAAAAUUAGUUUAGUUUUUACUUAUAUCUGAGCUUGUACCUAUGUUUGAAAUAAACAGUUCUUACUUAUAUUCGAACCAAACAUAGCCAAAAAAUAUAAUUUCACACAUUUAU